GUCGUGUGUGUGUGAGUUUUUCUUCUCUCUUUGUGUUUGUGUAUUUAUUUACUUCAAAGUUUUUGAUCAACUUUUUUUUUAAUCUUUUGGAUUUGUUUCUAUUUGUCGAUAUCGGAUUAAAUUAAAUCAUCAUCAUCAUCAGCAUCAAAACGUUCGAAUUUUUUUUUUGUUGUUCGAAUCAUUAUCAUCAUCAUCACUACCCUUUAUAAAGCACACACAUUGAUUUUAUCCCGAUUUAUUACCCGGUUGACUUUUUUUUUAUCUCAUCACAAACGAAUUUAAUUUUUUUUUUUUUUUUUUUGAUUCUCGUGUGCAAUAUUUUACCUUUGUGUUUGUCAUAUUACUCAUUCUCUGGGCUAAUCAUUUUCAUUCGAUUCCAACGAAAAAAAACCUUUUGUUUCGUGUCAGUGUAUUUUUCUCUCACUUACUCACUCAUCAUCAGAAUAUUCUUUUGAAAACAAAAAAAAAACAUUAAACAUUCAUUCCUCUGUAUUUUAAUACCACAACAACAAAUAUUGAGUACCCGGUUUUCUCAUCUGGUUUGGAAAAUUAUCAUCACCAAUAAUCC